CGCGUAGGUGGUAGUGUAAGUCUGAGGUGGAAUCCCAGGGCUUAACCCUGGAACUGCCUUGGAAACUGCAUUACUUGAGUCAGUGAGGGGAGGGUAGAAUUCCUGGUGUAGCGGUGAAAUGCGUAGAUAUCAGGAGGAAGGCCUGUGGCGAAGGCGGCCCUCUGGUGCUGGACUGACACUGAGGCGCGAAAGCGUGGGGAGCAAACAGGAUUAGAUACCCUGGUAGUCCACGCCCUAAACGGUGGGCACUAGGUGUAGGGCUUGUAAGGGUUCUGUGCCGAAGGGAAACCAUUAAGUGCCCCGCCUGGGGAGUACGGCCGCAAGGUUGAA
rnacentral:rRNA from 1 species